GCCAGGGGGCGGGUGCUAAUACAUGCAGUCGAGCGAACAGAUAAGGAGCUUGCUCCUUUGACGUUAGCGGCGGACGGGUGAGUAACACGUGGGUAACCUACCUAUAAGACUGGAAUAACUCCGGGAAACCGGGGCUAAUGCCGGAUAACAUUUAGAACCGCAUGGUUCUAAAGUGAAAGAUGGUUUUGCUAUCACUUAUAGAUGGACCCGCGCCGUAUUAGCUAGUUGGUAAGGUAAUGGCUUACCAAGGCAACGAUACGUAGCCGACCUGAGAGGGUGAUCGGCCACACUGGAACUGAGACACGGUCCAGACUCCUACGGGAGGCAGCAGUAGGGAAUCUUCCGCAAUGGGCGAAAGCCUGACGGAGCAACGCCGCGUGAGUGAUGAAGGGUUUCGGCUCGUAAAACUCUGUUAUUAGGGAAGAACAAACGUGUAAGUAACUGUGCACGUCUUGACGGUACCUAAUCAGAAAGCCACGGCUAACUACGUGCCAGCAGCCGCGGUAAUACGUAGGUGGCAAGCGUUAUCCGGAAUUAUUGGGCGUAAAGCGCGCGUAGGCGGUUUCUUAAGUCUGAUGUGAAAGCCCACGGCUCAACCGUGGAGGGUCAUUGGAAACUGGGAGACUUGAGUGCAGAAGAGGAAAGUGGAAUUCCAUGUGUAGCGGUGAAAUGCGCAGAGAUAUGGAGGAACACCAGUGGCGAAGGCGACUUUCUGGUCUGUAACUGACGCUGAUGUGCGAAAGCGUGGGGAUCAAACAGGAUUAGAUACCCUGGUAGUCCACGCCGUAAACGAUGAGUGC
rnacentral:rRNA from 1 species